rnacentral:rRNA from 1 species
AUACGGAGGGUCCAAGCGUUAUCCGGAAUCAUUGGGUCUAAAGGGUCCGCAGGCGGUCAAUUAAGUCAGAGGUGAAAGCCCAUCGCUCAACGAUGGAACUGCCUUUGAUACUGGUUGACUUGAGUUAUACGGAAGUAGAUAGAAUAAGUAGUGUAGCGGUGAAAUGCAUAGAUAUUACUUAGAAUACCGAUUGCGAAGGCAGUCUACUACGUAUAUACUGACGCUAAGGGACGAAAGCGUGGGGAGCGAACAGGAUUAGAAACCCUAGUAGUCC